GAUGAAGAACGUAGCGAAAUGCGAUAAGUAAUGUGAAUUGCAGAAUUCAGUGAAUCAUCGAAUCUUUGAACGCACCUUGCGCUCCUUGGUAUUCCGAGGAGCAUGCCUGUUUGAGUGUCAUGAAAUUCUCAACCUUUUCAGCUUUCUUUGUUGAUCAGGCUUGGAUGUGGGAGUAUGCGGGCUUCUCAGAAGUCGGCUCUCCUGAAAUGCAUUAGCGGGACCUUUGUUGCCUGGCUUUGGUGUGAUAAUUAUCUACGCCAUUGUAGUCAAGCAGCUUAAAAUGAGGUUUCAGCUUCUAACCGUCUCCCCUGAGACAACUUUUUGACAAUUUGACCUCAAAUCAGGUAGGACUACCCGCUGAACUUAAGCAUAUCAAUAAGCGAGGA
rnacentral:misc_RNA from 1 species